CUACGUGCCAGCAGCCGCGGUAAUACGUAGGGUGCGAGCGUUAAUCGGAAUUACUGGGCGUAAAGCGAGCGCAGACGGUUACUUAAGCAGGAUGUGAAAUCCCCGGGCUCAACCUGGGAACUGCGUUCUGAACUGGGUGACUAGAGUGUGUCAGAGGGAGGUAGAAUUCCACGUGUAGCAGUGAAAUGCGUAGAGAUGUGGAGGAAUACCGAUGGCGAAGGCAGCCUCCUGGGAUAACACUGACGUUCAUGCCCGAAAGCGUGGGUAGCAAACAGGAUUAGAUACCCUGGUAGUCCACGCCCUAAACGAUGUCGAUUAGCUGUUGGGCAGCAUGACUGCUUAGUAGCGAAGCUAACGCGUGAAAUCGACCGCCUGGGGAGUACGGUCGCAAGAUUAAAACUCAAAGGAAUUGACGGGGACCCGCACAAGCGGUGGAUGAUGUGGAUUAAUUCGAUGCAACGCGAAGAACCUUACCUGGUCUUGACAU
rnacentral:rRNA from 1 species